rnacentral:miRNA from 1 species
CACGGUUCCCAUAAUUCCCAGCAUCUACACAUCAUAGAGUAAUCACUACUCUAUGAUGUGUAGAUGCUGGGAAUUCUGGGAACCGU